rnacentral:rRNA from 1 species
UACGUAGGGGGCAAGCGUUGUCCGGAAUCAUUGGGCGUAAAGAGCGCGUAGGCGGCCCGGUAAGUCCGCUGUGAAAGUCAAGGGCUUAACCCUUGAAUGCCGGUGGAAACUGCCGGGCUAGAGUCCGGAAGAGGCGAGUGGAAUUCCUGGUGUAGCGGUGAAAUGCGCAGAUAUCAGGAGGAACACCGAUGGCGAAGGCAGCCCCCUGGGCUAACACUGACGCUCAGGCACGAAAGCGUGGGGAGCAAACAGG